UUUGAAUUUUGAAACGAAGACAGGAUAUCAACAAAGAGAGCCAAGAAAAUUGUUUGUUACGCGAUAUAUACUCACUUGGAGCUAAAAGAAAAGCCACAAAGGACAAGUUCAAUAUGCAGGUUUACAAUUUGGAAGUGGCACAGGUUCUUUGGAAUGUCUACAACCUUUCAGGAGAAAUUUUUUUUUGAAACGCAUGGCAC